GCGGGAGUGGUGGAAUCGGUAGACACGCAGGAUUUAGGUUCCUGUGCCCCAGGCGUGAGGGUUCGAGUCCCUCCUUCCGCACCG
rnacentral:tRNA from 44 species